CUCAAACCAAUACGUAGACCCCAGUCCAAUUUAUACCCGUCAAACAAUUGAUUCUACAAACCAAUGCAUUUUAAUUAAUUUCAAAGUUUUACACCGAAACAUGAACUUUAUUGUUGAUAUAGAGUAAUAAGGGAAUUAACUAUUUAAUUCUUACCUAUUACUACUGUAGGGUAAUUGACCAUAAGGAAUUUUUACAUACCUGAGUUCAACAAUUAGUGAUUUGUAAACAACCUUAGAACUUUGGGUGCAAUUUCGUGGCUGGCUCUGCGUUAGUAAUAGAACGUGAAGUGUUCUUUUUUGAGAAUCUCCUUUUGUUUAAACUUUUCACAACCCUUGUCUUUUGGCUAAGGCUUUCACGCCUUUACUGUCAAGAGCC
rnacentral:lncRNA from 1 species